UUAAGCGACUAAGCGUACACGGUGGAUGCCCUGGCAGUCAGAGGCGAUGAAGGACGUGCUAAUCUGCGAUAAGCGUCGGUGAGGUGAUAUGAACCGUUAUAACCGGCGAUUUCCGAAUGGGGAAACCCAGUGUGUUUCGACACACUAUCAUUAACUGAAUCCAUAGGUUAAUGAGGCGAACCGGGGGAACUGAAACAUCUAAGUACCCCGAGGAAAAGAAAUCAACCGAGAUUCCCCCAGUAGCGGCGAGCGAACGGGGAGGAGCCCAGAGCCUGAAUCAGUGUGUGUGUUAGUGGAAGCGUCUGGAAAGGCGUGCGAUACAGGGUGACAGCCCCGUACACAAAAAUGCACAUAUUGUGAGCUCGAUGAGUAGGGCGGGACACGUGGUAUCCUGUCUGAAUAUGGGGGGACCAUCCUCCAAGGCUAAAUACUCCUGACUGACCGAUAGUGAACCAGUACCGUGAGGGAAAGGCGAAAAGAACCCCGGCGAGGGGAGUGAAAAAGAACCUGAAACCGUGUACGUACAAGCAGUGGGAGCCUCUUAAUGGGGUGACUGCGUACCUUUUGUAUAAUGGGUCAGCGACUUAUAUUCUGUAGCAAGGUUAACCGAAUAGGGGAGCCGAAGGGAAACCGAGUCUUAACUGGGCGUUAAGUUGCAGGGUAUAGACCCGAAACCCGGUGAUCUAGCCAUGGGCAGGUUGAAGGUUGGGUAACACUAACUGGAGGACCGAACCGACUAAUGUUGAAAAAUUAGCGGAUGACUUGUGGCUGGGGGGGAAAGGCCAAUCAAACCGGGAGAUAGCUGGUUCUCCCCGAAAGCUAUUUAGGUAGCGCCUCGUGAAUUCAUCUCCGGGGGUAGAGCACUGUUUCGGCAAGGGGGUCAUCCCGACUUACCAACCCGAUGCAAACUGCGAAUACCGGAGAAUGUUAUCACGGGAGACACACGGCGGGUGCUAACGUCCGUCGUGAAGAGGGAAACAACCCAGACCGCCAGCUAAGGUCCCAAAGUCAUGGUUAAGUGGGAAACGAUGUGGGAAGGCCCAGACAGCCAGGAUGUUGGCUUAGAAGCAGCCAUCAUUUAAAGAAAGCGUAAUAGCUCACUGGUCGAGUCGGCCUGCGCGGAAGAUGUAACGGGGCUAAACCAUGCACCGAAGCUGCGGCAGCGACACUAUGUGUUGUUGGGUAGGGGAGCGUUCUGUAAGCCUGUGAAGGUGGCCUGUGAGGGUUGCUGGAGGUAUCAGAAGUGCGAAUGCUGACAUAAGUAACGAUAAAGCGGGUGAAAAGCCCGCUCGCCGGAAGACCAAGGGUUCCUGUCCAACGUUAAUCGGGGCAGGGUGAGUCGACCCCUAAGGCGAGGCCGAAAGGCGUAGUCGAUGGGAAACAGGUUAAUAUUCCUGUACUUGGUGUUACUGCGAAGGGGGGACGGAGAAGGCUAUGUUGGCCGGGCGACGGUUGUCCCGGUUUAAGCGUGUAGGCUGGUUUUCCAGGCAAAUCCGGAAAACCAAGGCUGAGGCGUGAUGACGAGGCACUACGGUGCUGAAGUGACAAAUGCCCUGCUUCCAGGAAAAGCCUCUAAGCAUCAGGUAACAUCAAAUCGUACCCCAAACCGACACAGGUGGUCAGGUAGAGAAUACCAAGGCGCUUGAGAGAACUCGGGUGAAGGAACUAGGCAAAAUGGUGCCGUAACUUCGGGAGAAGGCACGCUGAUAUGUAGGUGAAGCGACUUGCUCGUGGAGCUGAAAUCAGUCGAAGAUACCAGCUGGCUGCAACUGUUUAUUAAAAACACAGCACUGUGCAAACACGAAAGUGGACGUAUACGGUGUGACGCCUGCCCGGUGCCGGAAGGUUAAUUGAUGGGGUUAGCGGUAACGCGAAGCUCUUGAUCGAAGCCCCGGUAAACGGCGGCCGUAACUAUAACGGUCCUAAGGUAGCGAAAUUCCUUGUCGGGUAAGUUCCGACCUGCACGAAUGGCGUAAUGAUGGCCAGGCUGUCUCCACCCGAGACUCAGUGAAAUUGAACUCGCUGUGAAGAUGCAGUGUACCCGCGGCAAGACGGAAAGACCCCGUGAACCUUUACUAUAGCUUGACACUGAACAUUGAGCCUUGAUGUGUAGGAUAGGUGGGAGGCUUUGAAGUGUGGACGCCAGUCUGCAUGGAGCCGACCUUGAAAUACCACCCUUUAAUGUUUGAUGUUCUAACGUUGGCCCGUAAUCCGGGUUGCGGACAGUGUCUGGUGGGUAGUUUGACUGGGGCGGUCUCCUCCUAAAGAGUAACGGAGGAGCACGAAGGUUGGCUAAUCCUGGUCGGACAUCAGGAGGUUAGUGCAAUGGCAUAAGCCAGCUUGACUGCGAGCGUGACGGCGCGAGCAGGUGCGAAAGCAGGUCAUAGUGAUCCGGUGGUUCUGAAUGGAAGGGCCAUCGCUCAACGGAUAAAAGGUACUCCGGGGAUAACAGGCUGAUACCGCCCAAGAGUUCAUAUCGACGGCGGUGUUUGGCACCUCGAUGUCGGCUCAUCACAUCCUGGGGCUGAAGUAGGUCCCAAGGGUAUGGCUGUUCGCCAUUUAAAGUGGUACGCGAGCUGGGUUUAGAACGUCGUGAGACAGUUCGGUCCCUAUCUGCCGUGGGCGCUGGAGAACUGAGGGGGGCUGCUCCUAGUACGAGAGGACCGGAGUGGACGCAUCACUGGUGUUCGGGUUGUCAUGCCAAUGGCACUGCCCGGUAGCUAAAUGCGGAAGAGAUAAGUGCUGAAAGCAUCUAAGCACGAAACUUGCCCCGAGAUGAGUUCUCCCUGACUCCUUGAGGGUCCUGAAGGAACGUUGAAGACGACGACGUUGAUAGGCCGGGUGUGUAAGCGCAGCGAUGCGUUGAGCUAACCGGUACUAAUGAACCGUGAGGCUUAACCUU
rnacentral:rRNA from 4 species